rnacentral:rRNA from 1 species
UACGGAGGGUGCAAGCGUUAUCCGGAUUCACUGGGUUUAAAGGGUGCGUAGGUGGGUUGAUAAGUCAGAGGUGAAAUCCCCGAGCUUAACUUGGGAACUGCCAUUGAUACUAUUGAUCUUGAAUACCGUGGAGGUCAGCGGAAUAUGUCAUGUAGCGGUGAAAUGCUUAGAUAUGACAUAGAACACCAAUUGCGAAGGCAGCUGGCUACGCGAAUAUUGACACUGAUGCACGAAAGCGUGGGGAUCAAACAGG